rnacentral:rRNA from 1 species
CCUACGGGUGGCAGCAGUAGGGAAUAUUGCGCAAUGGGCGAAAGCCUGACGCAGCAACGCCGCGUGAACGAGACGGGCUUUGGGGUUUUAAGCUUUUUUUGUCGGGACCAAAGCAGAUGGUACUCACAGAGGAAGCACCGGCUAACUCCGUGCCAGCAGCAGCGGCAAUACGGAGGAGGCAACAGUCGUCCGGAUUCUUUGGGCGUAAAGAGGUCGUAGGCGGUAUGGCAAGUCAGGUGUUAAAUGCAUAAGCUCAACUUGUGGUCGGCAUUUGAAACUGGCGAACUAGAGUGCGGGAGAGGUAAAUGGAAUUCCUGGUGUAGCGGUGAAAUGCGUAGAUAUCAGGAGGAACAUCAGUGGCGAAGGCGCUUUGCUGGACCGUAAUUGACGCUGAGGAGCGAAAGCGAGGGUAGCAAACAGGAUUAGAUACCCUAGUAGUC